UCUUAUGGAUGAGCAAAGAAAGUGGUUUCUUGAGAUGGAAACUACUGCUGCUGAAGAUGCUGUGAA
rnacentral:pre_miRNA from 1 species